rnacentral:rRNA from 1 species
CCUACGGGUGGCAGCAGUGGGGAAUAUUGCGCAAUGGGCGAAAGCCUGACGCAGCGACGCCGCGUGAGGGAUGAAGGUCUUCGGAUCGUAAACCUCUGUCAGCAGGGAAGAACGGUCAUGGUGCUAAUCAGCAGUGAAUUGACGGUACCUGCAAAGGAAGCACAGGCUAACUCCGUGCCAGCAGCCGCGGUAAUACGGAGGGUGCGAGCGUUAAUCGGAAGUACUGGGCGUAAAGCGAGCGUAGGCGGUAUGUCAAGUCAAGGGUGAAGUUCCCGGGCUCAACGUGGGAACUGCCUUUGAAACUGGCAAACUGGAGUGUGUGAGAGGAUAGUGGAAUUCGAGGUGUAGGAGUGAAAUCCGUAGAUAUCUGGAGGAACAUCAGUGGCGAAGGCGACUAUCUGGCACAUAACUGACGCUGAGGAGCGAAAGCGUGGGUAGCAAACAGGAUUAGAUACCCGAGUAGUC